CCCUUAGAUGUCCGGGGCUGCACGCGCGCUACACUGAAGGAAUCAGCGUGCUAAAACCAUUGUCGAAAGGCAUUGGUAAACCCAUUAAAAUCCUACGUGAUUGGGAUCGGGAAUUGCAAUUAUUUCCCUUGAACGAGGAAUUCCCAGUAAGUGUGGGUCAUAAGCUCGCGUUGAUUACGGCCCUGCCCUUUGUACACACCGCCCGUCGCUGCCCGGGACUGAGCCGUUUCGAGAAAAGCGGGGACUGCUGCUGUCGGGGCUUUCGGGCCUUGGCUUCGGUGGAAACCGCUUUAAUCGCAGUGGCUUGAACCGGGCAAAAGUCGUAACA
rnacentral:rRNA from 1 species